UUUAAAUGAUAACAACUCCUCAUAAAUAGGAUAGAAAUCCAAAAUACAACGCGGAAAUUCCCAACAUCGGGGUGUCACUAAGUACAUGAGCAUCUAUACAUCAGAAGUCCGAAAAAUACUAUCUAUGAAAAUCUGAAACCAAAUACAAUAAGUGAAAUGAUAGGGAAGGAGAAACAAGGUCUGCGAAACGCUGGCAGCUACCUCGAAAUCUCCAAAAGAUCCACUGGGCGCAAAAAUCAACACCCACUAUGUCCGGGAACACCUGGAUCUGCACACGAAGUGCAGGGUGUAGUAUGAGUACAACCAACUCAGCAAGUAACAAUACUAAAUAAAGAACUGAAGGUAGUGACGAGCUUUACAAUUAUAGUUCAAUUACAAUGAUUUUUAAAUGGAAGGUAGGCAUGCUUUCAAGUUCAACAAUUAAGGCCAAAACAGUAAUUUCAUGUCAAGUUCAACUGAAACAAAUCGCAAUAUCCUUCAAAAAUUAUCAAGACAGUGAUACAUGGCAGCUAAGUGCAACAUGUAUGAAACCAAAUACAUCCUCUCAUGGCCACAGUCACUCAGCCCUCCCAUUCACUCAGCACUCGGCAUUCGCACUCAGUAGGUACCUACACUCACUGGGGGUGUGUGCAGACUCCGGAACCUUCAUCCCAAGCACUAUAAUCUGCAUGGACAGCUCAUGUGCUGCACGGACAACUCACAUGCUAUAAUAUAAUAUAUGGAUAUGCACGGACAACUCACGUGCUGCACGGACAACUCACGUGCUAUAGUAUAAUACCUCACAAUUAGGCCCUCGGCCUCACUCAAUCAUCAUCCUCUCCAGUCUCUCAGGCUCUCAAAAAUCAUAAAAAGCAGCCCAGACAACAAUGAUAUGAUGCAUAAAAAAUGAACAAUAGAGACUGAGAUGUAAUAUACAAAUAAACUGUGACUGAGUACAAGGCAACAAUUUAGCAGAUAAUUCAACAUGUACACGACCUCUUUGGGUCCCUACAAUGCACACACAUAGUCUAAACAUGAUUUGUGGUUCAAUUUCUCUAGUACAUGGAGAAUAACAGAUAACAACAAAUUAUUCACUACACAAUCCCAUGAAAUUUGACCAAGUAACAAUUCCUACGGUGCACGCCCACAUGCCCGUCAUGUAGCAUGUAUGUCACCCCAAAACCAAAUACAUGACACGUAAUACGGGUUUUCGUACCCUCAGAAACAAAUUUAGAACUAUUACUUAUCUUAGUCCGAGCAAAUCUCUACUCUGAUACACCCUUGCCUCACGAAACGGCCUCUGAAUUCCUCUAAUCUAACCAUAAACAAUGUGAUACAAUCAACACGGGCUAUAGGAAUCAAUUUCACUAGAAAAUAUGAAGUUAUUAAUCAAAUUCCGAAAUCGGCUCAAAGCCGGCCCCCGGGUCCACAUCUCGAAAUUCGACAAAAGUCACAAAACCCAAAAGCUUAUUCAACAACGAGUCUAACCAUACCAAAUUUAUGAAAAUCCGACACCAAAUCGUCACCCAAAUCCCCAAAUCUCUAGCCUCAAACCCCCAAUUUACACCUUAAAUACACACCAACUAGGGGACAAAUCAAUGGGAAAAUUAGACUGUUGAUCAAAAACGAGAACAAGGGACUUACCUCAAGAAUCUCCUCAAAAGCCCUCUCAAAAAUUGCCUUAGACCGAGCUUGGAAUGUCCAAAAUGAAGAAAAAUCGUGAACUCUUGUUUUUAUAUGUUCUGCCUAGUCAUUCCGCUUCUGCGGAUACUUAGCCGCUUCUGCCGCACGGCUUCUGUGGAUUUCAGUUUUGUUGACCAUCCGCUUCUGCGGUCUCAACCGCGCUUUAGCGGGUGCACAUCUAUGCAAAAGAGUCCGCUUCUGCAGACCAGCCUCCCCACUCAUUCCCGCUUCUGUGCCAAAUUCACCGUAUCCGCGGACACGCAAGUGCGGAAAGUACCUCGCACCUGCGACCUCUACCUGCUUCAUACUUGACCGCUUCUGCGCUUUCUUUCUCACUUCUGCAGGCUCGCAUCUGCGGUGCCCACUCCACAGGUGCGAUUACACCAGCAACUGCCAACUUCAACAAAUUCUUUAAGUUCAAAACUUGAUCCGUUAACCACCCGAAAUCCACCUGAGGCCUCCGGGACCUCAACCAAACAAACCAACAUGUCCUAUAACACGAUAAGAACUUAGUCGAACCUUCAAAUCACUCGAACAACAUCAAACAUGAAUCACACAUAGAUUCAAGCCUAAUCAACUUUGAACUUCCAAUUUUUACAAACGAUACUGAAACCUAUCAAAUCACAUCCGAUUGACACCCAAAUUUUGCACACAAAUCACAAAUGACAUUACAGACCUACUCCAACCUCCGAAAUUGGAAUCCGACCCCGAUAUCAAAAAGUCCACUCCCGGUCAAACUUCCCAAAAAUUCAACUUUCGCCAUUUCAAGCCUAAUUCCACUACGAACUUCCAAAUUACCAUCCGAACACGCUCCUAAGUCCAAAAUCACCCAACAAAACUAUCAAAACUCCGGUCCGGAGUCAUUUACCCAAAGAUCAACAUCCGGUCAAUUAUUUCAGCUUAAGCUUUCAACCUUGAGACUAACUAUCUCAUUUCAUUCUGAAAUCACACCUGACCCGAACAGACUACUUCAGCAAGUCAGAUAACAGUUAUAAAGUACAAAAUGAGCAAUAAAUAGGGGGACGUGGCUACAGCUCUCAAAACAAUCGGCCGGGUCGUUACAUUUUCAGAGAUGACCCUUUUGCAAGGACUGUUUGGUCAACUGUGACCCAAGUGGCCAGACUUGACCGACUCAUUCAAUUAAGAACGAGAAAGACAAGACCCAUGAUGGGUUGCCUACUUAUCUUGACACAAGGUCAAGAAUCAGGUACGCGUAGUUCGUGAAGGUUGGAGAGUAUGAGGUGUAUGAUUUUCAACACUUCUUUUACUCUCCUAUUUCAAGGCAUUACAACUAACUAUACUAAUUUCAUCAAAGAUAUGUAUGAAAUGCAAGGGCAUAGACAAACUUAGAGUAAUGCCUAGUUGUACCCAUGAUUGGGUGUGGUAUCUCUGGAGUUGAAGAGCAUAUCCCUCCAGAAGAUGUGCCCUAGCUGCUCCUUCGAACAGUUGCCUCGAUGCCCUUGACUGUUUGCGAGACAGUUGUUGUGGUCGUCUCUCAAUUGACUAUAUGGAUGUUUUGUUGCGACCUUCCAGCUAUCCACAUGAACCUUUGGGUGAUCGUCCCCGGCUAUUAGUCGGGGUGAUAAUAUGAUCAAGAUAUAGAAAUAUUGUGAGAGUAAUGCCGUCAUAAAUGAUGGAAUUAAGAAUUGUAACUAACACUCCGCUGAUUGUUCGGUUGAUGUUCCACAAUGUCCGAUGUCGGAUGCUAUUUCACGUGCAGUCCCAGGAUGAUGCACCUUUCGCCCAUCCACAUGAACCAUUUGAUGAUCGUCCCCAGUUGAUAACAGGGAACGAUGUUCUGAUCUGAAUAUAGCAAAGUGGUGAGAGCAACGAAGUCAUAAAAAAUGGUGAAGUUAAUUGUGAACUAUUACUCCCCUGAUUAUCUGACUAAUGUUCUACCAAGUCCGAGACCAGAUGUUAUCUCUUGGGAAGUGCCCGAGAUGAUGUACCUGCAAAACUCAGAGGAGAAAAUGUUAGAUUCCCUUUUAGGUGAAGUUAUAAAAUUAAGAGGGUACGUAGUUAGGCCGCGCAAUAGUGGUGUAUCCGGUUGUGAUCGAAAACGUGAUGUCGACAAUCCCUGAUGGUUCCGGACAUUGUGUUGUCCCUCCUGCGUGCAAAGAAAAAUUCUUAGUUCGAUGGAGGGAUGUUGAUUCAUGUUGACUUGAGUCUUUGCCCGUUCUUCCUUUUUUGUCUGAGUCGUGCGAGAAUGACACUCCUUGAAAAUUGACUAACGACUUGCCCCUGUAACAAAAUGGGUUGACUUGUAUUGAAUCUUUGAACUUGGGAAGUGGUAGUGAACACCAUGAAUCUAUAGCCAGAUGUUUGAAGAAAGGACUUGCAUCCCAUAUGUUGGGAUUUAAGUCGGGUGAGGGUCAGAGUAAGGUUGACAUGGUAUUUUGUUUGGAUUUUUUGGGUGAUGUUUGGUUGACGCUCUCAAAGAUUUCUGGGUUGAGAGCAUCAUUGCACUAUUUCAAAAGAACUGCCCCAACUUUUCAAUGCCGAGGAAAUUAAUUUGAAAUAGUGGGGAGACCGAACCCUUAUGUAGGGUUGCCUACGUAUCUUGCUAGAGAAAAAAUUAGGUCAAAACGUAGUUCAGACAACUACUAGAACCACGAGGGAUCUGUAUGGUUCUCAUGAAUGAUUAAUUGUUCCUAGAGAAGAAGUGCAAUUACUAGUGUGAAUUCCCGGGUGGGUGGAGACUGGUAACCUUUGAAUAAGAGAUAGAUGGUAGCAUAGCGCAUGGAUUUAUUUCAAAUGACGGAAGUCAGUGAAAGUGUGAGGUAUGUUGAGAAGAAUACAUCAAAUCAGUGGAAGAUAUACCAAGCUAGAUUGAAGUAUCUUUGAAAAGGAUGGUAGAGUCCUAAUGAUGAUGUGAUUAUGGUGGAUGGUCAUAAAGACCGGAGUGGGUAUGUGCAUUUGAGAGAUUCAAGGUUCGACACAAGUCAACUAAAAUAGUUAGAUAAAGAGAACCUAGUGGUGGACAACAAGUAGAAAGCAUAUGUAGCAGAUAGAGGGCACAAAGCAAUGGCAGGCAAAGAAUAUAUACCAAAUAUACAAAGAAUAUAUAGCAAGUAAAGGAUAUGCGGGGAUUAAUUCAAUUGAACCAAGAUGCAAGAUUGUGUGUACAGUGACCUAGGAAUUCUAAGAGUUGAUUUGCCUAGAUUCGGAUAUGAGUUAAGGACAACUGUGAGAUGGUACGUAGUUAACCUCGUCUACCGAUCUUUGAAACUAAGGAGUUUUGAAAGAAGGUUUGGAGGGGUGAAAAGACAAUCCUCGCGUGGCUUGUGUGUGAUUGUGCACGACAUAGUGUCAAUAGAAAAGUAAUGAUAAUUGGAUAAGGCAGCACCAAGAGCAUGUGUGAAAGAGUAUACAUCACAGUCAUAUGUAACAGAAUAUACAACAUAGACAUGUGGGAAGCAUAUACAACAUGAGCAUGACAGAGAAUACGCCGCUUGAAGCGGAUGACAAAAGUAUACCACUUAAAGCAUAUGACAAAGAAUAUGCAGCUUGAAGUAUGCAAUAGAGGAUACUCGACUUGAAGCAUGCAACAGAGAAUAUGCGGCUUGAAGAAUGCAACAGAGGAUACACGAUUUGAAGCACGCAAUAGAGAAUAUGCUGCUUGAAGCAUACAACAAAAAAUACACAACUUGAGGCAAACGACAAAGAAUAUAUCGAUUGACAAAGAAUACACCGCCUGAAUCGCAUCACAAACAAUGGACUAAUUGUAGCAUGCGACAAAAAUAUACCACUUGAAGCAAAUAAUAUACAACUUAAACCAAGAAAUAUACAGCUUGAAACAAAGAGUAUAUGAUUGAAGCAGAGAAUAUACAACCUAAAGCAUGUGAUAGAGAGAAUAAAAGUUGGAAUAUUGGAGAACCUGUAAUCCCUCAACUAUUGGAUCGAAUAUGCUGUGGUUAGAACUUGAAGUAUCCCCAACAGAGUCGCCAUGUUGUUGCACUCUAUUUUGCAUGAGACAAAAUAAACUACAACUUAUAGUACUCUACAAGGUUAUUAAAGUUUAGAGUCGACACCUAAUGUUUAAGGUACACUAGGACACCUAUAUUACACUAUAUAAUGUACACUUCGACUAUGAUCUACGAAACCAUUGAGAUUCUAGUUAAGGGUUCAAGUUAUCUCGAGGGGAAGGUUUUAGGCAUCCCUCAAGAUCCACAAAAGGUAGUUCAUGUGGACUCGAUCAAAUAAGGAAGGAAAGGUUCAAAAGAAUGAUUAACUACGCCACAAAGGAUUUCUAUCAAAGAGCAGUCAACACAGUUGUCACGUAGUGAAUAAAUAUUCAAAGCGUGACUAUUUUAUUUGUGAUAAAAUUUAUACAACAAAAUAUGCAAGCAGAUUAAUAAACAAAAAUCUUUUUGGGAUUUGAUUGAAAGAAUUGGAUUCAAAAUAGAGUAUAAAGGAAACUUCGACUUACAAUUAAAGCCAAAUAAUUUAACUAUAAAAGGUUAGUCUUAAUUGAAUACACAUGGUAUAAGGUGAAGAAUUAUUUUUGGAUAAAAACCAACUAGCAAUUAGCUUAAAGAAAUGACCAAAUAUAGUAGGAGGGUUGUGAUGAUAGGAAAGCAUAAGAAAGAAAUUAUCCACAUAAAUCUUACAUGUGAUAAUUGAGUAAUUAAAUCAAACAUGGAAUGUACAUCAACAAUUGAAAUGAUCUAAAAAAGAGUUUGAAUAAAUCUGAAGAAGUUAAUUUAUGAUUAAAGUCAAAUAAUUACUACAAUGAGUUAUAUUAAGUAUAUAAGAAAAAUAUGUGAAAAAAUGAAUAAAUAGUGGUGAAAAUUAUCUUAAAAAAUGAGUAAGUAUUUUGUGAUUGACUAACAUAAUUGACUAGAUAUAUAAAGAAUAAAACGUAAAAAAGGUUUGUUAAGAUGUACAGAUAUAAAGGAAUAUAAAUUUUUAUGACAAAAGAAAAUCAGGACCAUAUAAGAAAGACUUUAGAGUUUGAUUUAAAAGGAUUGAAUAAACAAAUAAAUACUAAUAAAAUGCAUAUAUAAGAAAUCAGACAAAUACACAAAGAGGCUAAGAAUAUUAUAAACCUUGUACAAGAAUAGCCUUUAAGACAAUAACUCAUGGAGAAUAUUGGCAAUUAUCGGGUUAGGCCUAAAUGGAUGUAACAAUUGAAUUAAUCCUAAAUAUGGUAGACUCAAUUAUGAUUUCUACAAGUUAUGUCUAAUUGGGGUGUAUAAUUAAGGAACGAUAUACAAGUAGAUUGGUUCGAAAAGCAUCCUAGUAUGAUUAUAAAAAAGGUAAGUUUAUUUGUUUUGAGAAAAGAUGGAAUACUUUUUGUUUUGUUAUGUAGUAUCUAAUUUAAUUAAUUACAUGCAUAUCUAUCCCAAUUAUCCAAACAAGUUACGAAAUAUACUCGACAUCCUAAACAUGUAUAUAUAAGCUUAACGAGUUAUAUAAUGCACAACUUCGUAAGUUAAACGGAUUAAUAACUUGAUGCAACUCAUCCUAAGUGUUGGCAAAUAUGCAAAUAAUAAGUAAGCUAGCAAAUACGUUAUCUAUCUAUGGUUUCACUAUACUUGCGUUUUGUACAUCCAAGAUAGGAAGUUACGAAGUGGGAAGCUUAACGGGAAUUUAUCUUUUCGUCUUUGAAUGUCAUCCUCUGAAAGCAACCCCGUGUGAUAGUACCUCGCAAAAUGAGAGAAAAAUGAAAUUGUUAGCUAAAUAAUAUAACAUAAAAGAUAAAAUAAGGAAGUGACAUGUUUUGAAAUAGUUUUUGUUUUAAAAUAUUUUUGGGAAAUUUCUCUUGAAAAUGAUUUUAAAAUGUUUUGUUUUUGAAAGAUUGUUUGCAAAAAAAAAUAAUAUUUUUUUGGGAAAUUGUUUUCGAAAGAUAGUUUUAAAAAUAAUAUAGGAUGCUCAGAUAUAUGUAAUAUACGAUAUCCGUCUAGACAAGAGAACAGGAACCGCCUCGGUAACAACUCUGGUGGCCAACUGUGUCGCCUUCCGAAGGUUUUAUUGGGUCAUCGCAUCCUCGUCUUUUAUUUUUCUAUGUUUAUCAUCAUCACCUCAUUAUUUAGGGCCCAGUCCGAGUGUCAUUCGGGGUGUCAUGGGGCGUCAUGGCCUCAAUAACUCGGAGAUUAUUUUCUCAUCGUCCGCAAUCUUGUAUAAUAUAUGUUCGAAUCAAAUAACAAGAUAUAUACCGUCACCAGCAUGUCAAGAAAAUCAGUUAAACCGUUUCCGAAAAGCCAAAAGAAUCGAUCAGUGGCUGGCCUACCCAAAGUGCACAAAAAGGUCCAAACAACAUCAAAACAAAGCUGUCAGCCAUAGCAAAAUGGUGAAAACAAACACAAAAAUGGAACACUUAGAAUCCGCAUCAUCAUCCGCCGGAGAAGGCGAAACUCGUCGGAAAAAUCAAAACCCAUGUUAGUCUCAAUUAUAAACAGUGAUAAUGACACCUAACUAUCAUAAAAAUUAAUAACCAAUCGAACAGUGGGUUGCCAGAAAUACACAGGUCUCUUGAAGAUGGGCCAACAGUCAUAAAACUCCAUAAAACAACACACAAAAGGCUAGCCGGCGAUGAACUCCGGCUUAAUCGAAAGGAUAACAGAAACAGAGGAGCCCGCCGGAAAAGCCAUAAACUCCAGGUCCGUAAAGAAUAACAAUAAAAAAUCAUAAAGGGAUGAGUAAAAGAGGCCACCGACAUUCAAUACUUCACAACAGAUCUGAAAGUUUCCGGCCAAACUCUGGCGAGAAGUGUCAAUUUCUCCAACCAGUGGAGUCUACCGAAGAGAAAAGAGAGGAAAAGAUAGGAAUCGCCGCCUGGCCGGUGGUCAACUCCGGCGGCAGCGACCUGAGCGACAGCCAUGUCUCUCCAUAAUGAAGAGAGAAUUUGGAGAUGAAGAAGGAGCAGACAUGGUCUCUCAAAAAUGAGAGAUUGAGAAAGCCCAAAAAAUGGGGUGUGUGGCUAUGAGUUCUCUCAAUGGAGAGUGAGAGAUUAUUUAGGGUUUGGGUUAUAAAAAUCUGAUGUUAUAAAGUGAGGGAGUGUGUAG
rnacentral:lncRNA from 1 species